CGAAUAAGCUGGGGGUGCCUGGGCUGAAACAGGCUGAGAUUACACCCCGAGAACCUGAGAUCGGCUAGCACCGACGUAGGGAAGCUGUUAUUCAAGGAA
rnacentral:ncRNA from 1 species